AUGGAGUCCUGGUUAUAGGUUGAUCUGAGGUGGGGCUGAUUAGAGGCAUGGAGUCCUGGUUAUAGGUUGAUCUGAGGUGGGGCUGAUUAGAGGCAUGGAGUCCUGGUUAUAGGUUGAUCUGAGGUGGGGCUGAUUAGAGGCAUGGAGUCCUGGUUAUAGGUUGAUCUGAGGUGGGGCUGAUUAGAGGCAUGGAGUCCUGGUUAUAGGUUGAUCUGAGGUGGGGCUGUGGGGGCAUGGAGUCCUGGUUAUAGGUUGAUCUGAGGUGGGGCUGAUUAGAGGCAUGGAGUCCUGGUUAUAGGUUGAUCUGAGGUGGGGCUGAUUAGAGACAUGGAGUCCUGGUUAUAGGUUGAUCUGAGGUGGGGCUGUGGGGGCAUGGAGUCCUGGUUAUAGGUUGAUCUGAGGUGGGGCUGAUUAGAGGCAUGGAGUCCUGGUUAUAGGUUGAUCUGAGGUGGGGCUGAUUAGAGGCAUGGAGUCCUGGUUAUAGGUUGAUCUGAGGUGGGGCUGAUUAGAGACAUGGAGUCCUGGUUAUAGGUUGAUCUGAGGUGGGGCUGUGGGGGCAUGGAGUCCUGGUUAUAGGUUGAUCUGAGGUGGGGCUGAUUAGAGGCAUGGAGUCCUGGUUAUAGGUUGAUCUGAGGUGGGGCUGAUUAGAGGCAUGGAGUCCUGGUUAUAGGUUGAUCUGAGGUGGGGCUGAUUAGAGGCAUGGAGUCCUGGUUAUAGGUUGAUCUGAGGUGGGGCUGAUUAGAGGCAUGGAGUCCUGGUUAUAGGUUGAUCUGAGGUGGGGCUGUGGGGGCAUGGAGUCCUGGUUAUAGGUUGAUCUGAGGUGGGGCUGAUUAGAGGCAUGGAGUCCUGGUUAUAGGUUGAUCUGAGGUGGGGCUGAUUAGAGGCAUGGAGUCCUGGUUAUAGGUUGAUCUGAGGUGGGGCUGAUUAGAGGCAUGGAGUCCUGGUUAUAGGUUGAUCUGAGGUGGGGCUGAUUAGAGGCAUGGAGUCCUGGUUAUAGGUUGAUCUGAGGUGGGGCUGUGGGGGCAUGGAGUCCUGGUUAUAGGUUGAUCUGAGGUGGGGCUGAUUAGAGGCAUGGAGUCCUGGUUAUAGGUUGAUCUGAGGUGGGGCUGAUUAGAGGCAUGGAGUCCUGGUUAUAGGUUGAUCUGAGGUGGGGCUGAUUAGAGGCAUGGAGUCCUGGUUAUAGGUUGAUCUGAGGUGGGGCUGUGGGGGCAUGGAGUCCUGGUUAUAGGUUGAUCUGAGGUGGGGCUGUGGGGGCAUGGAGUCCUGGUUAUAGGUUGAUCUGAGGUGGGGCUGAUUAGAGGCAUGGAGUCCUGGUUAUAGGCUGAUCUGAGGUGGGGCUGAUUAGAGGCAUGGAGUCCUGGUUAUAGGUUGAUCUGAGGUGGGGCUGUGGGGGCAUGGAGUCCUGGUUAUAGGUUGAUCUGAGGUGGGGCUGAUUAGAGGCAUGGAGUCCUGGUUAUAGGUUGAUCUGAGGUGGGGCUGUGGGGGCAUGGAGUCCUGGUUAUAGGUUGAUCUGAGGUGGGGCUGAUUAGAGGCAUGGAGUCCUGGUUAUAGGUUGAUCUGAGGUGGGGCUGAUUAGAGGCAUGGAGUCCUGGUUAUAGGUUGAUCUGAGGUGGGGCUGAUUAGAGACAUGGAGUCCUGGUUAUAGGUUGAUCUGAGGUGGGGCUGUGGGGGCAUGGAGUCCUGGUUAUAGGUUGAUCUGAGGUGGGGCUGAUUAGAGGCAUGGAGUCCUGGUUAUAGGUUGAUCUGAGGUGGGGCUGAUUAGAGACAUGGAGUCCUGGUUAUAGGUUGAUCUGAGGUGGGGCUGUGGGGGCAUGGAGUCCUGGUUAUAGGUUGAUCUGAGGUGGGGCUGAUUAGAGGCAUGGAGUCCUGGUUAUAGGUUGAUCUGAGGUGGGGCUGAUUAGAGGCAUGGAGUCCUGGUUAUAGGUUGAUCUGAGGUGGGGCUGUGGGGGCAUGGAGUCCUGGUUAUAGGUUGAUCUGAGGUGGGGCUGUGGGGGCAUGGAGUCCUGGUUAUAGGUUGAUCUGAGGUGGGGCUGAUUAGAGGCAUGGAGUCCUGGUUAUAGGUUGAUCUGAGGUGGGGCUGAUUAGAGGCAUGGAGUCCUGGUUAUAGGUUGAUCUGAGGUGGGGCUGAUUAGAGACAUGGAGUCCUGGUUAUAGGUUGAUCUGAGGUGGGGCUGUGGGGGCAUGGAGUCCUGGUUAUAGGUUGAUCUGAGGUGGGGCUGAUUAGAGGCAUGGAGUCCUGGUUAUAGGUUGAUCUGAGGUGGGGCUGAUUAGAGGCAUGGAGUCCUGGUUAUAGGUUGAUCUGAGGUGGGGCUGAUUAGAGGCAUGGAGUCCUGGUUAUAGGUUGAUCUGAGGUGGGGCUGAUUAGAGGCAUGGAGUCCUGGUUAUAGGUUGAUCUGAGGUGGGGCUGUGGGGGCAUGGAGUCCUGGUUAUAGGUUGAUCUGAGGUGGGGCUGUGGGGGCAUGGAGUCCUGGUUAUAGGUUGAUCUGAGGUGGGGCUGAUUAGAGGCAUGGAGUCCUGGUUAUAGGUUGAUCUGAGGUGGGGCUGUGGGGGCAUGGAGUCCUGGUUAUAGGUUGAUCUGAGGUGGGGCUGUGGGGGGCAUGGAGUCCUGGUUAUAGGUUGAUCUGAGGUGGGGCUGAUUAGAGACAUGGAGUCCUGGUUAUAGGUUGAUCUGAGGUGGGGCUGUGGGGGCAUGGAGUCCUGGUUAUAGGUUGAUCUGAGGUGGGGCUGAUUAGAGGCAUGGAGUCCUGGUUAUAGGUUGAUCUGAGGUGGGGCUGAUUAGAGGCAUGGAGUCCUGGUUAUAGGUUGAUCUGAGGUGGGGCUGAUUAGAGGCAUGGAGUCCUGGUUAUAGGUUGAUCUGAGGUGGGGCUGAUUAGAGGCAUGGAGUCCUGGUUAUAGGUUGAUCUGAGGUGGGGCUGAUUAGAGACAUGGAGUCCUGGUUAUAGGUUGAUCUGAGGUGGGGCUGUGGGGGCAUGGAGUCCUGGUUAUAGGUUGAUCUGAGGUGGGGCUGAUUAGAGGCAUGGAGUCCUGGUUAUAGGUUGAUCUGAGGUGGGGCUGAUUAGAGGCAUGGAGUCCUGGUUAUAGGUUGAUCUGAGGUGGGGCUGAUUAGAGGCAUGGAGUCCUGGUUAUAGGUUGAUCUGAGGUGGGGCUGAUUAGAGGCAUGGAGUCCUGGUUAUAGGUUGAUCUGAGGUGGGGCUGUGGGGGCAUGGAGUCCUGGUUAUAGGUUGAUCUGAGGUGGGGCUGUGGGGGCAUGGAGUCCUGGUUAUAGGUUGAUCUGAGGUGGGGCUGAUUAGAGGCAUGGAGUCCUGGUUAUAGGUUGAUCUGAGGUGGGGCUGUGGGGGCAUGGAGUCCUGGUUAUAGGUUGAUCUGAGGUGGGGCUGUGGGGGCAUGGAGUCCUGGUUAUAGGUUGAUCUGAGGUGGGGCUGUGGGGGCAUGGAGUCCUGGUUAUAGGUUGAUCUGAGGUGGGGCUGUGGGGGCAUGGAGUCCUGGUUAUAGGUUGAUCUGAGGUGGGGCUGAUUAGAGGCAUGGAGUCCUGGUUAUAGGUUGAUCUGAGGUGGGGCUGAUUAGAGGCAUGGAGUCCUGGUUAUAGGUUGAUCUGAGGUGGGGCUGAUUAGAGGCAUGGAGUCCUGGUUAUAGGUUGAUCUGAGGUGGGGCUGAUUAGAGGCAUGGAGUCCUGGUUAUAGGUUGAUCUGAGGUGGGGCUGUGGGGGCAUGGAGUCCUGGUUAUAGGUUGAUCUGAGGUGGGGCUGUGGGGGCAUGGAGUCCUGGUUAUAGGUUGAUCUGAGGUGGGGCUGAUUAGAGGCAUGGAGUCCUGGUUAUAGGUUGAUCUGAGGUGGGGCUGAUUAGAGGCAUGGAGUCCUGGUUAUAGGUUGAUCUGAGGUGGGGCUGAUUAGAGGCAUGGAGUCCUGGUUAUAGGUUGAUCUGAGGUGGGGCUGAUUAGAGGCAUGGAGUCCUGGUUAUAGGUUGAUCUGAGGUGGGGCUGAUUAGAGGCAUGGAGUCCUGGUUAUAGGUUGAUCUGAGGUGGGGCUGUGGGGGCAUGGAGUCCUGGUUAUAGGUUGAUCUGAGGUGGGGCUGAUUAGAGGCAUGGAGUCCUGGUUAUAGGUUGAUCUGAGGUGGGGCUGUGGUAGACUCACGUCUUAGUCUCUCUGGCCUCCUGAGGGUGUAGUGUGGGUGUAGUAGUGAGGAUGUUAUGGUGUAGUAAUGGUGUAGCAGUUAGGAUGUAGUAAUGGUGUAGUAAUGGUUUAUUAGGGGUGUAGCAGUGAGGGUGUUGUAGUAAUGGUGUAGUAAUGGUGUAGCAGUUAGGGUGUAGUGUGGGUGUAGUAGUGAGGAUGUUGGGUGUAGUAAUGGUGUAGUAAUGGUUUAUUAGGGAUGUGGUAGUGAGGGUGUUGUAGUAAUGGUGUAGUAAUGGUGUAGCAGUUAGGGUGUAGUAAUGGCGUAGUAGUGAGGGUGUUAGGGUGUAGUAAUGGCGUAGUAGUGAGGGUGUUAGGGUGUAGUAAUGGCGUAGUAGUGAGGGUGUUGGGGUGUAGUAAUGGUGUAGUAGGAGUGUAGUAAUGAGGGUGUUGUAAU